rnacentral:rRNA from 1 species
UACGUAGGGUGCAAGCGUUAAUCGGAAUUACUGGGCGUAAAGCGUGCGCAGGCGGUGAUGUAAGACAGAUGUGAAAUCCCAGGGCUCAACCUUGGAACUGCAUUUGAGACUGCAUCGCUGGAGUGCGGCAGAGGGGGAUGGAAUUCCGCGUGUAGCAGUGAAAUGCGUAGAUAUGCGGAGGAACACCGAUGGCGAAGGCAGUCCCCUGGGCCUGCACUGACGCUCAUGCACGAAAGCGUGGGGAGCAAACAGG